rnacentral:rRNA from 1 species
UCAAGACUAAAACUCAAAGGAAUAGACGGGGACCCGCACAAGUGGUGGAGCAUGUGGUUUAAUUUGAAGAUACGCGAAGAACCUUACCUAGCCUUGACAUUGAUAGAAUCUUCCAGAGAUGGAGGAGUGCCUUUCGGGGAACUUGAAAACAGGUGCUGCACGGCUGUCGUCAGCUCGUGUCGUGAGAUGUUGGGUUAAGUCCCGCAACGAGCGCAACCCUCGUCACUAGUUACUAACAGUUAGGCUGAGGACUCUAGUGAGACUGCCUUCGUAAGGAGGAGGAAGGUGAGGACGACGUCAAGUCAUCAUGGCCCUUACGGCUAGGGCAACACACGUGCUACAAUGGUUAGGACAGUGGGAAGCGAUACCGCGAGGUGGAGCCAAUCUAUAAACCUAAUCUCAGUUCGGAUUGUAGUCUGCAACUCGACUACAUGAAGCUGGAAUCACUAGUAAUCGUAGAUCUGCUAUGCUACGGUGAAUACGUUCCCGGGUCUUGUACUCACCGCCCGUCACACCAUGGGAGUUGAUUUCACCCGAAGCGGGGAAGCUAAACUGGCUACCCUCCACGGUGGAAUUAGCGACUGGGGUGAA